rnacentral:rRNA from 1 species
AUUGAACGCUGGCGGCAUGCUUUACACAUGCAAGUCGAACGGCAGCACAAACUUCGGUUUGGUGGCGAGUGGCGAACGGGUGAGUAAUGCAUCGGAACGUGUCCUGAAGUGGGGGAUAACGCAUCGAAAGAUGCGCUAAUACCGCAUAAUCUCUGAGGAGAAAAGUGGGGGAUCGAAAGACCUCAUGCUUUUGGAGCGGCCGAUGUCUGAUUAGCUAGUUGGUGGGGUAAUGGCCUACCAAGGCGACGAUCAGUAGUUGGUCUGAGAGGAUGGCCAGCCACACUGGGACUGAGACACGGCCCAGACUCCUACGGGAGGCAGCAGUGGGGAAUUUUGGACAAUGGGCGCAAGCCUGAUCCAGCAAUGCCGCGUGAGUGAAGAAGGCCUCGGUUGUAAG